GAUGAACGCUGGCGGCGUGCCUAAUACAUGCAAGUCGAGCGAACAGAUAAGGAGCUUGCUCCUUUGACGUUAGCGGAGGACGUGUGAGUAACACGUGUGUAACCUACCUAUAAGACUGGGAUAACUUCGGGAAACCGGAGAUAAUACCGGAUAACAUUUGGAACCGCAGGGUUCUAAGGUGAAAGUUGGUUGUGCUAUCACUUAUAGAUGGACCCGCGCCGUAUUAGCUGGUUGGUAAGGUAACGGCUUACCAAGGCGAGGAUACGUAGCCGACCGCAUAGGGUGGUCGCCCACACUGGAACGUAGACGCGCUCCAUGCGCCUACGGGAGGCAGCAGUAUGCAAUCUUCCGCAAUGGUCGAAAGCCUUGCGGAGCGAGGCCGCGUGUGUGGUGACGGGUCUCGGCUCGUAAUGCUGUGUUAUUAGUGAAGAACAACUUUGGAAGUAACUGUGCACGUCGUGACGGUACUUAAUCAGAAAGCCACGGCUAACUACGUG
rnacentral:rRNA from 1 species